GAUGAACGCUGGCGGCGUGCCUAAUACAUGCAAGUCGAGCGAACAGACGAGGCGCUUGCUCCUCUGACGUUAGCGGCGGACGGGUGAGUCACACGUGGAUAACCUACUUAUAAGUCUGGGAUAACUUCGGGAAACCGGAGCUAAUACCGGAUAAUAUAUUGAACCGCAUGGUUCAAUAGUUAAAGACGGUUUUCCUGUCAUGUAUAGAUGGAUUCGCGACGCAUUAGCUAGUUGGUAAGGUAACGGGUUACUAAGGCGACGAUGCGUAGCCGGCCUGAGAGGGUGAUUGGCCGCACUGGAACUGAGACAGGGUCCAGACUCCUACGGAAGGCAGCAGUAGGCAGUCUUACGCAAUGGGCGAAAGCCUGACGGAGCGACGACGCGUGGGUGAUGAGGGUCUUCGGGUCGUAAAGCUCUGUUAUUAGGAAAGAACAAAUGUGGAAGAAACUAUGCACGUCUUGACGGUACCUAAUCAAAAAGCCACGGCUAACUACGUG
rnacentral:rRNA from 1 species